UACGUAGGGUGCAAACGUUGUCCGGAAUUAUUGGGCGUAAAGAGCUCGUAGGCGGUCUGUCGCGUCGGAUGUGAAAAUCAGGGCUCAACCCUGGACCUGCAUUCGAUACGGGCAGACUAGAGUUCGGUAGGGGAGACUGGAAUUCAUGGUGUAGCAGUGAAAUGCGUAGAGAUCAUGAGGAAGACCAGUGGCGAAGGCGGGUCUCUGGACAGUUCCUGACACUGAGACACGAAGGCCAGGGGAGCAAACGGG
rnacentral:rRNA from 1 species